UUAGAGUUUGAUCAUGGCUCAGAACGUACGCUGGCGGCACGCCUAACACAUGCAAGUCGAACGAAGUAGCAAUACUUAGUGGCAGACGGGUGAGUAACAUGUAGGUAUCUUCCCUUUGGCCUGGAAUAACACGAGGAAACUUGUGCUAAUACCGGAUAAGUCUUUACGGAGAAAGCUUUAUGCACCAUUGGAUGAGCCUGCACUUGAUUAGUUUGUUGGUGGGGUAAAAGCCUACCAAGACUGUGAUCAAUAGCUGAUUUGAGAGGAUGAUCAGCCACAUUGGGACUGAGACACGGCCCAAACUCCUACGGGAGGCAGCAGUGGGGAAUCUUGCACAAUGGAGGAAACUCUGAUGCAGCGAUGCCGCGUGAGUGAAGAAGGCCCUUGGGUUGUAAAGCUCUUUCGUCGGGGAAGAAAAUGACUGUACCCGAAUAAGAAGGUCCGGCUAACUUCGUGCCAGCAGCCGCGGUAAUACGAAGGGACCUAGCGUAGUUCGGAAUUACUGGGCUUAAAGAGUUCGUAGGUGGUUGAAAAAGUUGGUGGUGAAAUCCCAGAGCUUAACUCUGGAACUGCCAUCAAAACUUUUCAGCUAGAGUUUGAUAGAGGAAAGCAGAAUUUCUAGUGUAGAGGUGAAAUUCGUAGAUAUUAGAAAGAAUACCAAUUGCGAAGGCAGCUUUCUGGAUCAUUACUGACACUGAGGAACGAAAGCAUGGGUAGCGAAGAGGAUUAGAUACCCUCGUAGUCCAUGCCGUAAACGAUGUGUGUUAGACGUUGGAAAUUUAUUUUCUGUGUCGCAGCGAAAGCGAUAAACACACCGCCUGGGGAGUACGACCGCAAGGUUAAAACUCAAAUGAAUUGACGGGGACCCGCACAAGUAGUGGAGCAUGUGGUUUAAUUCGAAGAUACGCGCAGAACCUUACCAACACUUGACAUGUUCGUCGCGACUUUAAGAGAUUAAAGUUUUCGGUUCGGCCGGACGAAACACAGGUGCUGCAUGGCUGUCGUCAGCUCGUGUCGUGAGAUGUUGGGUUAAGUCCCGCAACGAGCGCAACCCUCACUUUUAGUUGCCAUCAUUUAGUUGGGCACUCUGAAAGAACUGCCAGUGAUAAGCUGGAGGAAGGUGGGGAUGACGUCAAGUCCUCAUGGUCCUUACGUGUUGGGCUACACACGUGCUACAAUGAUAUCUACAACAGGAAGCAAAACGGCGACGUUAAGCAAAUCCUCAAAAGAUAUCUCAGUUCGGAUUGCACUCUGCAACUCGAGUGCAUGAAGCUGGAAUUACUAGUAAUCGUGGAUCAGCGUGCCACGGUGAAUGCGUUCCC
rnacentral:rRNA from 1 species